CCUACGGGAGGCAACAGUGAGGAAUAUUGGUCAAUGGACGAGAGUCUGAACCAGCCAAGUAGCGUGAAGGAUGACUGCCCUAUGGGUUGUAAACUUCUUUUAUAAAGGAAUAAAACGAGGCACGUGUGCCUUUUUGCAUGUACUUUAUGAUUAAGGAUCGGCUAACUCCGUGCCAGCAGCCGCGGUAAUACGGAGGAUCCGAGCGUUAUCCGGAUUUAUUGGGUUUAAAGGGAGCGUAGAGGGGUUGUUAAGUCAGUUGUGAAAGUUUGGGGCUCAACCGUAAAAUUGCAAUUGAUACUGGCAGUCUAGAGUACAGUAGAGGUAGGCGGAAUUCGAGGUGUAGCGGUGAAAUGCUUAGAUAUAACGAAGAACCCCGAUUGCGAAGGCAGCUUACUAAGCUGUGACUGACAUUGAGGCACGAAAGUGUGGGUAUCAAACAGGAUUAGAUACCCUGGUAGUC
rnacentral:rRNA from 1 species